CCUGGUUCGUGACGUCCUGGCUCGACCGGCACACAGAGCAGAGCGACUGCCCGGGGCGCCUCUCUCGGCUUCGCCUAUGCAUCCCCUUGCUGGGCCUGCUGGGCUGGAUGAGCCACUCCUUUGGGCAUUUGCAAGCGCGUCCAAGCCGCAGUUCUGCCCCCUU